CCGCUCUCAUUGACCUGUCAAUACACCAUUAGCUUUCCCCUGGCACGCUCGUAAGAAUAAACCAGAGCAACAUCUCAACCUUCCAGCCCAUGGCCAUUGUUGUUAAUACCUCCAAGCAUUGACUCAGUCGAUAGGGUGUUGAAGCUCCUGGACAAUGUCAGAGGAAGGUUAUAUAAUCAGGCUUAAUCUAAUGCAGCUCCAAGAUAAUCAACCCAUGCCUCCACCAAACAGUGAUGCAGCAAAAACCCUAGAUAGAAUAAGAUCACGCUAGCAGCAAGCAAUAUACUUAAGUCAGUGUGCAAGGAAUGUAACACAAAUAGUGAAAAACGAAUAAUCUAUUAACUACGCUAAAUAAGUACAAAUAUCAUAAAUUUACAAACAUAUUGUGCAGAUCCCAAUCAUUGAUCCAGCAGAGAGAGUUUGCUUUUUUAAGUAUAAAGACACCACCACAAAAGGAGCAACUCAAAACACCCCAAAAAAGAAACGUAAUUAAACUAAAAGUCUAAAACUAAUUCAGAUGGUUGUACACGCAGUAUAACUUCGGCUCCCCUUCGUUGCAUUAACCAACAAGGAUAUCUUAAUCGAACUGCUCCCAAUCACAAGUAACUUCUGUUGAAGAUGACACGGGAGGAGGGGCAUUCAAGCUUCCUACUCCUGACUUGAAUGUCU